rnacentral:lncRNA from 1 species
GCACCUCACAGUCAGGGUCUAGGAAGGAGCCUGGGCAAGGCUGGAGCCCCGGAGCAGGGAGCUCCUCACCCUCACGCCGGUGUCUCCGAGUGGGCAGGCAGGGUGCUGAGGAAGCAGACGCUUCUGAGACUUCCAUUUAACACCCAGAGUCCCGGGAGCCCCUAAAACUCCAGGAACCGAACAUGUCACAACACCUGAAUUCAAUUCAAUGUUAUAAUGAUUGCUAUCAUCCUUCUACUUCCACCAGCACGCAGGCCCACUGAGCUCAGCGUCCCUGCUCCGCACAGAGCUGCGAAGGAAGGCCUCGCGUCCGGCGUAGGCCAGGCCCAGAACACACGCUCCUUUCCCUUUACGUUCUCCCAGCCUCCAGCUGCCUCCGGCUCAGCAGCUCUCUCAGCUCCACGCGGUUUCUGAACAGCCCUCACAGAACCUCCUUCUCGUGGACUUGACGGUCUCCCCUGAUCCGCUACGAGCACAGCCAGAGAAUGGAAAUGACAGUUUGCGUAGGUGCUGAGACAGCAUGAAUAUCAAAACCGUAAACAUGACUAAAUCAUUGCUGAACUCUACUCAUUAUACAAGGGCCCAGAGUUAGUAACAGCGGUUCCUGAUGGUUGGAGCGAGCAGGAAGAGAACAGAAAUGCUGCUCACCUGUAUUUGGAAGUCAUUAGAUAAAACAUUUCACACAGCACCAAGAUGGAAAUUAAAUGAGAGAUUAUUAACACAGCGGCCUGGAAAUGGGCACAUGAAAAAUUACACACUCCAGUCAGUCUGCAUACAAGUGAAACCACUGAAGAUCUCCUUACCAUUUUUAGGAAGUAUGUAACAGAAUAGCAAAAUGCCUUAACGCAAAGGGUCUCCUUUCAUUUUUUUCUUCUGUACAUUUACCUAAAAGCAUCAGAAUAUUAGGAUUCCUACGUCAGAAAAAAUCCUUAGUCUAGAACAGUUUGAAAAAGUUUAAGGAAGCUUGUAAAUAGUUUUGAUCAGCUCAUAUAUUCACUUAUACAUAAAUAAAGUAUUUAAUAAAAGAAUGUCA